rnacentral:rRNA from 1 species
GAUGAACGCUGGCGGCGUGCCUAAUACAUGCAAGUCGAGCGAACGGACGAGAAGCUUGCUUCUCUGAUGUUAGCGGCGGACGGGUGAGUAACACGUGGAUAACCUACCUAUAAGACUGGGAUAACUUCGGGAAACCGGUGCUAAUACCGGAUAAUAUUUUGAACCGCAUGGUUCAAAAGUGAAAGACGGUCUUGCUGUCACUUAUAGAUGGAUCCGCGCUGCAUUAGCUAGUUGGUAAGGUAACGGCUUACCAAGGCAACGAUGCAUAGCCGACCUGAGAGGGUGAUCGGCCACACUGGAACUGAGACACGGUCCAGACUCCUACGGGAGGCAGCAGUAGGGAAUCUUCCGCAAUGGGCGAAAGCCUGACGGAGCAACGCCGCGUGAGUGAUGAAGGUCUUCGGGUCGUAAAACUCUGUUAUUAGUGAAGAACAUAUGUGUAAGUAACUGUGCACAUCUUGACGGUACCUAAUCAAAAAGCCACGGCUAACUACGUG